rnacentral:sRNA from 1 species
UAGACCUUCAAAGUAGAUAUGAUAUGAUUUUUUUUGUUACACAUCUAUCAUAUCAUAUCUACUUUGAAGGUCUACU